GGAAUGGGAUCAAGCCUGGCAGCUCCUGGGGGGCUCCGGGGUGCCGGGGGUUGAACGGAGCACCAUGGAAAAGCUCUGGAGCUGCCGGGACAGCCAGGAGCUCCUGUGGCUGCUCAGAAUUGAUCCCUGUGGCGCCGCCGGCUNNNNNNNNNNAGUGCCACCACCCCAGAGACAUAGUCCCAUCCCAAAAGACAGCCCCACCACACCAGAUGUCCCCGCCCUGAGAGAUGUGCCCACCAAAGGAUGUCCCUGAGUUUAAGAGGUGGCCUCACUCCAGAAGGUGUCUCCACACCAAGAGACGUUCCCACUCUGAGGAGUGUCCCCAUGCCGAGGGAUGUCCCCACCCCAAGAGAUGUCCCUGUGCAAAGGGAUGUCCCCACCCCAAGAGCUGAUGGCCCCACUGCAGGGAAUCUUGCAACCCCAAUUAAUGUUCACACCCACUGGCUGCCACACAAUGUGGUGACCCCGCCACCAUGGAUGUCCCCAUCCUAAGAGAUGUUGCACUCCGAGGCAUGUCCCCACUCCUGGAGAUAGAUGUCCCCACCCCAAGAGACGAUGGUCGCAUCAUGAUGUCCCACCCUAGGGAUGUCCCAGCUAAUGGAUGUCCCAUCCCAGCAACGUCUCAUCCCAGGGAUGUCCCACCUGGGACACCCAAGGCACACGACACACCAAGCUGAGGCCUGGGCAUGUUCCCACUGCCCGGUCCAGCCCCCCACCUUCCCAUUGCUGUCACCUGGAGCGUGGCCGGGGUCCCCACCCCGUGUCCCCCCAGGUGUGGUCCCACUACGAGGAGACGCCGGUGGAGGAGGUGGUGCCAGUGCUGGAGGAGAAGGAGCGCACGGCCAACUACAAACCCGUGUUCGUCACCGAGAUCACCGACGACCUCCACUUCUACGUGCAGGACGUGGAGACGGGUACCGUGCCCGGGUGGAGAAGGUGGAGUCGGGUGGGAAAGUGCACAUUUUCUACAUUGACUACGGCAACGUGAGUGUCACUGGGGAAACUGGGGGGGGAAACAGCCCUCUAUCCAUGGAUCCAUCCAUCCCUCCACCCAUCCAUCCAUCCACCAAUCCAUCAAUCCAUCCAUCAUCCAUCCAUCCAUCAUCCAUCCAUCCACCCACCCAUCCAUGCAUCCAUUCAUCCAUCCUCCAUCCAUUCCAUCCAUCCAUCAUCCAUCCAUCAUCCAUCCAUCCAUCCAUCAUCCAUCCAUCCAUCAUCCAUCCAUCCAUCAUCCAU
rnacentral:lncRNA from 1 species